GGGGAGAUGCCAGAGCGGUCAAAUGGGGCGGGCUGUAAACCCGUUGGCUUUGCCUACACAGGUUCGAAUCCUGUUCUCCCCA
rnacentral:tRNA from 1 species